AGUUGAUUGGGAUACUCUUCAAUUUUAUAUGAAAUGCCGAGGCCGGCAUCCAUUGCAAUGGCGGGCCCCAACCUGAAAAGGUGUCUUCGCGACCAGGCGGAUUACAAAGCGGUGGAUGCUCUCAAAUCCUGUUUUUUCGGAGUUUCAUCACAUCCCUUUGGUGUGGUUUU
rnacentral:sRNA from 1 species